CCUACGGGAGGCAGCAGUGAGGAAUAUUGGUCAAUGGGCGGAAGCCUGAACCAGCCAAGUAGCGUGCAGGAUGACGGCCCUACGGGUUGUAAACUGCUUUUAUACGGGAAUAACGCGCCUUACGUGUAGGGUUUUGCAUGUACCGUAUGAAUAAGGACCGGCUAAUUCCGUGCCAGCAGCCGCGGUAAUACGGAGGGUCCGGGCGUUAUCCGGAUUCAUUGGGUUUAAAGGGAGCGGAGGCCGCGUGUUAAGCGUGCUGUGAAAUGUCCGGGCUCAACCCGGGCCGUGCAGCGCGAACUGGCGUGCUUGAGUCCGCGGAAGGCAGGCGGAAUUCGUCGUGUAGCGGUGAAAUGCUUAGAUAUGGCGAAGAACCCCGAUUGCGAAGGCAGCUUGCUGCAGCGGAACUGACGCUGAUGCUCGAAAGCGCGGGUAUCGAACAGGAUUAGAUACCCUAGUAGUC
rnacentral:rRNA from 1 species